GAUGAAGAACGUAGCGAAAUGUGAUAAGUAAUGUGAAUUGCAGAAUUCAGUGAAUCAUCGAAUCUUUGAACGCAUCUUGCGCUCCUUGGUAUUCUGAGGAGCAUGCCUGUUUGAGUGUCAUUAAAUUCUCAACUACACUGACUUUGAAUUGGUGUGGCUUGGAUUUGGGGGGAAAAUUGUUGUGGGCUUUUUGUAUAGUCUGCUCCCCUGAAAUUGAUUAGCGGUACCUUUGUGGAACUGUCUACAGGUGUGAUAAUUAUCUACAUCUUAGACAUCUGCUGGAAUGCUGCUUUCUAAACCUUACUUGUAUUGACAAUCUUGACCUCAAAUCAGGUAGGACUACCCGCUGAACUUAAGCAUAUCAAUAAGCGGAGGA
rnacentral:misc_RNA from 1 species